rnacentral:lncRNA from 1 species
UAUGAUUUGUCAUGUGCUAAUGAAAUUUGCAACCCAAAUUUAUCAAAGAAUGGAGAUCUCACCUCAUUCAUAAGGACGAGUUGGCGAUGCUGGGCGGCGAUGGCCAAGAUGAUGCGGAUCGGCAACUGGACGCCGGCACUAGGAUAGGGCAGGUCGACACUCCUUUUCUCUUUCUACUUGUCAGCCUCUCGAAUGUCCUGGAAGGAGCUAGGGAUUGAUAUUUUGUUGUCGUGCUAGCGAUUAUCUCUCAACCAUCGCUCCAACCUUUUUCUGCAGUGAGCAACGGUCGAUGACUAGGGUGACAUCCACAGCAAGGCGGAGCGGGUACCAGGAAAUUAGCAAUCAGGGAAGCUUCCUCGAGAAUCUUGUUGGUUAGAAGUUCAUGCAUGGAUCGAGUCAUGUAAUAGUUAGUUUUGAUUAGCAUAUGUAUUACACUCUGCCAUUAGUUCUAUUGGUCCUAUAUUUCUGUCGGUUCAGUGGAUGUCUUAGCUUGGUCCUCGUUGCGUACUCGUGGUGUGCUUUCUACGACUGGUUUGACGAUGGAUUUAUGCUGAACUAUUUUAUUCAACUUCAUGAAUGUGUUUCUUGACCCUGUUCUGAAUCUUUCUAAUUCUUGGGCGUAUGUGUGUAUGUAUAUGGUUUUUGGUAUUAUCUAUUAAAAUAUCCAUUUGAAGUAAAAUGGCAUACUUAUAAAUUUAAUAAAUUUUCGUAUCUUCAUUUCUCAUUUCUUAUGUUGCAAAAAUUGGAAGUUGUGAGGUAAUUCCGUAAUUGCGCUACAGCCAACUAGAGGCAUAAUGUUGUCGGCUGCCACAAGAGUGAAAGUCCG